UGCCGUGCAAUCCCCCUCUGCCUGCCCUGCCACUGUUAAUGGAGCCAGGGGGUGCCCACCCUAUGUCCGGAGUGGCGAGCGGCAAGGCAGGCAGAGGGGGAUCGCAUGGCG